UCGUUUCACCAUCGUACUGUUUUUACCGCUGGCAGUCGUUGGGCCGUUCGUUCUGGUUGCACAUAGCCAAUUCCAUUAGGAGUCAAUGACAUGUGGGACUCAUUGAGUGUAGGCCCAAGCAAUGAAGUGAGUUUGUCUCCUGUUCUGGGUACGAGAAAACCCGACGUGCGGAGUGCGCGGUGAAAACCCUAGCCUCCAAUCCCCUUCCUCCCUCGAGCCCCGCGCCUCCACCCACUCGCCUCUUUUCUCAUCCACCGCCUUGCACGUCCUCCUCCCCUUCACUUCUCAAGCCGCACCGCCAACCAUCUGCGCCCCACGACGACGGCGACUUUGCUGCCACCCCGGCGGCCGCGGGGCGCAGCUGGCCUUCAUGGGCCGCAUCAUCGCCACGCUCGACCGCAGCUACCGCUAGGGCCGCUCCCACGCGCUGCUCGAGUCGCCCGCCGGCACCGGCAGGUCGCUCUCCCUCCUUUGCGUCGCGCUGGCCUGGCAGCGCCACUGCCCAGCUCGGUACGCCCCAGCCGCCAACCCCCCUCCUCCACGACGACGCCUUCAUCCCUGGCAACACCCGGCAGCAGCCCACUACUGACAUCCCGGAGAAGGCGGCGGCUGCCAAGAAGAAGAAUGCGCCGACCAUCUACUACAUCACGUAAGAUCUGCUCUCAAAUGAACUGAAAUGAUGGGGCAAUCUUGCCAGCCAGGUUUCUUGGCUGCUUGUCUUGAAUCGAUUAGAUGAAUCCUGAUUGAUUUCAUUUCCCUUCAAAAAAUCCUGAUUAGUUUCUUGGUUCCAUUGUCUAUCGGUUGUGGGAGGACGCACUGUCAGAUAACCCAGGUGGUCAUGGAGCUGUGCAAGACGAUGGCCAUCUUGGCCUCAAGGAAGCACUAUUGCAUCAAUAAGACCGUAUGCAUGGCUGAGCCAAUUGACGAGGAAUUGUGACAUACAAGACACAUAUAUUUACUAAUCAUUUGGGUUCUUCAUUGUAAACCAUUUAGUGAGACCUUUUCUCCAUCAGCAAGAAGCUUCUAGAUGACAAAGUUCAAGGAUGCCCAGAAUUCAAAAACUGAGUCAUCGUCCAUCCCUUCGGACCGAUGGCUGCUAUGAAGUUCCUGAUAUUGAGGAUCUUCCUAGGGUCGGAACACAAGUCAAAGUUAUUUACAGGAUGUCCAUAUUUUGCUGCACAAACCAUGCAUGGCAAAAGCAGCACAAUUGAUUUUCUGCCCAUAUAGCAACCUAAUUAGUCCAAUUGUCAGGAGAGCAAUGGACAUUGAUAUCAUUGGCUCAAUUGUUAUUCUUGAUGAAGCGCAGUAAGCCCCUGAGUCUGCAGACUCAUGAUUCUUUUUCAGUGUCAUUCAAUGGUUUCCUUAGUUGCAAGACAACGGCUCCCUAUGUUACCGAUCCGGUGUUGCUGUGCGUGAGGACGGACAUGGGGAAGGUGCAACAAGGCAGCGCUCAAGUUGCAGUGGAGUGGAGUCGACCAUCACUACUGACCGCUGCUCGGCGAUCCUCGCCCCUCACCCCCCAUCUAGAUGUGGUUAGGAACUAAAUCGACAAGCAUCGAUAUUUUUGUUAGGAAGGAGCGCUAGGAGCCUAGGAGUGGAACACGAUUUCCUCGAAUCUAGCCGAGGCCUCUGCUUUUUUCGUCAUCUUCCAUCGGUCCAAGCUGCUAUUGUUCGCUCCGUCGGCUUGCAGUUGCUUCUGGAGCGUGCUUCAGAUUCAUUGUGCCUCCUUCCAAUAUAAAUGUUUGUGCUGAAGUGGUAGCCAAGACAAACGCAGUAAUCGAAUCAAGAAAUUAGAUGAUAGGACCGAAGAUUGGGGACAAAAUAACUCAAACCAACAGACCAACCAUGAGGGUUCUAUAUAUACGACAAACGAGUAGUUGACAAAAUGAGGUGCUAAGAAAACUUGAGGUUCAUGAUUUGCUCUUGGAUCAAACUGAAAAUUAAUUUCAGUUGAAGAAUUAGUAGCAUGUAUCCUCUGAUUACCAACAGGGAAGAACUGCUCCAGUCGAAGAGCAGACAUUAUUCAUUGUGCCAACAGACUGCCUGGAAAGGAAGAAAUCGUAUGAAGUACAUCAGCACCCAUCUUAUCACCAGUUGGGGGAUUGUUUUUUCUCUCCUCGUCAACAAAGCUUGCAUCAGGCGGUCGGGUCGGAGAGAGAGACUUACCUGGAGCUGUACAAUCACACAGGAGAGGGUGGAGGGGCUCAUGGCGGCGGCGAGGCAACAGGAGGAGGGAGGGGCCCGGUGUCGCCGACGAGCAUGCCAAGCUCGAGCGCCUCCUCGAGCACUUAGGCGACUGGAUUCGAAGAAGGAGCAGGGCAGAGGAGAGGCGUGGAGUCCUGCGCCUCCGCGUCCGCCUCCGAUGGAGCCUAGAGCGCGCUGGCGCGAGCAUGCCGAGCUCGAGGGCCUUCUCGGCCACUUCUGCGGCCAGAUUCGACAUGAGGAGGGGGGAUCAGUGGCUGUGAAUCUCGCUGACCGCCGGCUAUGGAGGGAGGGAGCUGGUGAUGGGAGAAAUGGGGAAUGGGGGAGAUGUGACGGGCGGUGGAGAGGAUGACUGCUGGUUUUUCAGUACUACUGUAUUAGGAAGUGACAAGAGCUUGUCAAUUAGUGGGAAUGGAUUCGUAGGCGGUGGGAAUGGAUUCUGGACGGCUGGACCCAAACAAAUUUUCUUUAUCUUCUACAAAUAAAAAGAAUCGAUUAUUUCUUCCAAACAAUCCAUUAUAUUUUAUCAGACGUGCCUCA